rnacentral:rRNA from 1 species
AGAGCGAACGCUGGCGGCAGGCCUAACACAUGCAAGUCGAGCGCCCGUAGCAAUACGGGAGCGGCAGACGGGAUAGUAACACGUGGGAACGCGCCCUUCGGUUCGGAAUAACUCAGGGAAACUUGAGCUAAUACCGGAUACGCCCUUACGGGGAAAGAUUUAUUGCCGAAGGAACGGCCCGCGUCCGAUUAGCUAGUUGGUGAGGUAAUGGCUCACCAAGGCGACGAUCGGUAGCUGGUCUGAGAGGAUGACCAGCAUCACUGGGACUGAGACACGGCCCAGACUCCUACGGGAGGCAGCAGUGGGGAAUAUUGGACAACGGGCGCAAGCCUGAUCCAGCCAUGCCGCGUGGAUGAUGAAGGCCUUAGGGUUGUAAAGUCCUUUUAACGGGGAAGAUAAUGACGGUACCCGUAGAAUAAGCCCGGCUAACUUCGUGCCAGCAGCCGC